GACGAACGCUGGCGGCGUGCUUAACACAUGCAAGUCGAGCGGAAAGGCCUGCUUUCCCUUGUGGAUUGCGGGUACUCGAGUGGCGAACGGGUGAGUAACACGUGAGUGAUCUGCCCCCAACUUGGGUAUAAGCCUGGGAAACUGGGUCUAAUUCCCGAUAGGACUGCAGGGUGGUGCCUGUGGUGGAAAACGAUUUUCUAGUGGUUGGGGAUGAGCUCGCGGCCUAUCAGCUUGUUGGUGGGGUAAUGGCCUACCAAGGCGGCGACGGGUAGCCGGCCUGAGAGGGUGGACGGCCACAUUGGGACUGAGAUACGGCCCAGACUCCUACGGGAGGCAGCAGUGGGGAAUAUUGCACAAUGGGCGGAAGCCUGAUGCAGCGACGCCGCGUGGGGGAUGACUGCCUUCGGGUUGUAAACUCCUUUCGACCGCGAGGAAGCCACCUGGUUGGAAGGGUGGUGACGGUAGUGGUAGAAGAAGCACCGGCUAACUACGUG
rnacentral:rRNA from 1 species